CGACGAUCUAGCCAUUAUAUCAACAAAUACUAAUAAAAUUACAGCAGCACACAAUUUGCAAAACAAAAUUGAAGAAUUACAGAUUUCAACAUACUAGUCAACGGCACAAACAUUGAGCAAGUUCUACAUUUUAAAUGGUUAGGAAGGACAAUCAGCGCCAACUCCACAAUCAAGGCUCACGUCAGCAAUGUUAAAAAAGCAAUAACUUCUGCAUUUGUCCGGUCAAAGGCAGAAUACGCCAGCACCAGCUAUGCCAAUGCGCCGAAAGUAUACAAUAAACAACUGCAAACCA